UACAGAGGGUGCAAGCGUUAAUCGGAAUUACUGGGCGUAAAGCGCUCGUAGGUGGAAUAGCAAGUCCGUCGUAAAAUACCUGGGCUCAACCUAGGGAUGUCGAUAGAAACUAUUAUUCUAGAGUAUUGGAGAGGGUAGAGGAAUUUCUGGUGUAGCGGUGAAAUGCGUAGAUAUCAGAAGGAACAUCAGUGGCGAAGGCGUCUACCUGGCCAAAUACUGACACUGAGGAGCGAAAGCGUGGGUAGCAAACAGG
rnacentral:rRNA from 1 species